UGUACGCACAGGUGCCAAGGGUAUUUGUUUGUCUUGGAAGCGGUUGAUUCAUGCCACGACGUGUUUGGAGCACGUGUAUGCACCUUACCAUUUGCUGAUAAGAAAACUUGAGAUCGAUGAUGUAUGCCAUUGGGCAAAUGCAUCUGUGCAUUAGUCAUAUCCGAUUGAAGAAGACUCCCUUUCCUCUAGAAUGCAGCUAACAGUCAUUUGGAUAGAGUCGCUAAAGGAAAAGGUCGAGGGAUUGCAAUAGAAGAAUUGAUUUUGCUCGACACCGAGAAUUGCACCUCUCGCAGUCACAAAGAGAAAAUGCGUGGCUGCAUAACCAAACGCCGGUGUCACGGUGUCGUGAUGCUUCAGACGGCCUGGUGUCCAUAGUGGCCUUUUACCACGUCGCGACGCUUUUUCAUCACAACGGGCCACUGUUCCCACAAUCGGAACUUUGGAAAGUGUGACAAGUUCGACAUUAUUUAUUAAAACACUCGCCGUUUGGGCGGUCCGGUGAUCAAGGCAAUAACUGACCAAUCUCAUCGGUGACCAAUAGAAUUUUUCGAACGACUAAUAUUUAUCAUUCGAUAACAAUACGACCAGUUCUAAUGAAUAAAAAAAUCUAUCAUACUACUAUUU